CCCUUAGAUGUCCGGGGCCGCACGCGCGCUACACUGAAGGAAUCAGCGUGGCUUUCUCCCUGACCCGAAAGGGUUGGGAAACCCGUUGAAUCUCCUUCGUGAUAGGGAUUUGGGCUUGAAAUUGUUCCCCAUGAACGAGGAAUUCCCAGUAAGCGCGAGUCAUAAGCUCGCGUUGAUUACGUCCCUGCCCUUUGUACACACCGCCCGUCGCUACUACCGAUUGAACGGUUUAGUGAGGGCCUCGGAUUGGUCUCGGCCCGCUCUUUACCGGGCGGCGCCGUUGGUCGAGAAGACGCUCGAACUUGAUCGUUUAGAGGAAGUAAAAGUCGUAACA
rnacentral:rRNA from 1 species